rnacentral:tRNA from 1 species
UGGUUCAGUGGUAGAAUGCUUGCCUUCCGUGCAGGAGACCAGGGUUCAACUCCCUG